CCCGUGAGCAUCAUCACUCGUCGAUGUCGGGAAACCGCCGUACCAGCAUCGUCGGAGGCCUCGGCCCUGCAUGCCCUCGUUCUCUACUCUCCAGCUCGGAUCGAGCUAAACAACCUCCGUAGCUGGAAUCAAGGCUUCACGAUGCAUCAAAGCCAUAGACCCUCAGCCUCCGAUUUCGGCCAGAGCCCCCGCACGCGUCUCACGCGCCACCGCUGGCACGUGAGCCAACCUAGCGUCACCGUGAGCACCACCAGCUUAUUCUCUUCGUUCGGUAAGCUGGAUUCUAUCCCUUCUUCUUAGUGAGGCUUCUACUUUGAUCUAGAUUGAGAACCCUAACUCGAUUUCUUAAUUUGAAAUCUGUGAAGAUUUUGGAAUAUGUGUUCUGGAGGUUUUGGAGGAAGGGAGGUCUGCAAAAUUGUAAGCCUUCGGAGAAGAGAAGUGCUGGGUCAGUUCCAUUUGUAUUGAGGAAAGGUGCCCAAAGCAAUUGUUGGAGCUGGAUUGCAGCAAUUGGAUUUAGCCCUCAGUUUGGAGAAGAAGAAAUGGACCCGAGCGUGUGCAUUUGGAAGUGGACAAAGUGUUGAAAGUCGAGAACGAACCCGAAUGUGGGCAAGCACUCCAAUUCCAGUGUGCAGGUUUCGAGCAUGUGGUCGGGAAGCGUACAGGGGAGGCACAUGGCACGGCUUGGCGCAUUUCUCUUUAGUUUUAUCAAAAGAAGGUUUUGGUCCUUAAUCGGAUUUUGUAGUAGCUAGUUUAUUUACUUUUUAUUUAUUUCCUACUCGUUUACAAAAAAAUUCCGGGA